rnacentral:rRNA from 1 species
UACGUAGGUGGCAGGCGUUGUCCGGAUUUACUGGGCGUAAAGGAUGCGUAGGCGGACAUUUAAGUCAGAUGUGAAAUACCCGAGCUUAACUUGGGUGCUGCAUUUGAAACUGGGUGUCUAGAGUGCAGGAGAGGUAAGUGGAAUUCCUAGUGUAGCGGUGAAAUGCGUAGAGAUUAGGAAGAACACCAGUGGCGAAGGCGACUUACUGGACUGUAACUGACGCUGAGGCAUGAAAGCGUGGGGAGCAAACAGG